AUUGAACGCUGGCGGCAGGCCUAACACAUGCAAGUCGAACGAGUGGCGGACGGGUGAGUAAUGUCUGGGAAACUUCCCGAUGGAGGGGGAUAACUUCUGGAAACGGUAGCUAAUACCGCAUACUAUCGGAUCUUCUCAGAGGGGACUAGCUGGUAUGUGAGGUAACGGCUCUCCUAGGCGAAGAUCCCUAGCUGGUCUGCGAGGAUGACCAGCCACACUGGAACUGAGACACGGGCCAGACUCCUACGGGAGGCAGCAGUGGGGAAUAUUGAGCAAUGGGCGCAAGCCGGAUGCAGCCAUGCCGCGUGUGUGAAGAAGGCCUUCGGGUUGUAAAGUACUGUCAGCGGGGAGGCGUUACCCGCAGAAGAAGCACCGGCUAACUCCGUGCCAGCAGCCGCGGUAAUUC
rnacentral:rRNA from 1 species